rnacentral:rRNA from 1 species
UGAUUUACUUGACACCAAACAUCCGCCCGGGAACUACGAGCACCAGCUUGAAACCCAAAGGACUUGGCGGUGCCUUAGACCCCCCUAGAGGAGCCUGUUCUGGAACUGAUAACCCCCGUUCAACCUCACCCUCCCUUGCUUUUCCCGCCUAUAUACCGCCGUCGUCAGCUCACCCUGUGAAGGCUUUUUAGUGAGCAAAGUUGGCUUACCCCAAAACGUCAGGUCGAGGUGUAGUGCAUGAGAGGGGAAGAAAUGGGCUACAUUCGUUUACCAACGCAUACGGAUGACCAAUUGAAAUAUUUGUCUAAAGGAGGAUUUAGCAGUAAGGACGGACUAGAGAGCCC